rnacentral:rRNA from 1 species
UACGGAGGGAGCUAGCGUUAUUCGGAAUUACUGGGCGUAAAGCGCACGUAGGCGGCUUUGUAAGUUAGAGGUGAAAGCCUGGAGCUCAACUCCAGAAUUGCCUUUAAGACUGCAUCGCUUGAAUCCAGGAGAGGUGAGUGGAAUUCCGAGUGUAGAGGUGAAAUUCGUAGAUAUCAGGAAGAACACCCGUGGCGAAGGCGACUUACUGGACACAUAUUGACGCUGAGGUGCGAA